ACACGUUCAGAAUUAAUAAACUUUUAAUGAACUACAGAACAGCGUAGCCUAACAUUUUUCUAACAAACAAAUCACUCCCAAAUCAGAAAUUAGCAGCACAGUAAUUACUGACACCUUAAAGGGUAGGCUA